UUGUACACACCGCCCGUCAAGUCAACAAAGUUGGAAGUAGCUGAAACUUGGGUUUCCCAA
rnacentral:rRNA from 1 species